rnacentral:ncRNA from 2 species
GGUUGGGCAAAUUUACUUUUUAUUUGCUUUCAAGAGAAUUGAAUUUCUGGGGUGGGAAAUU